ACUGGAUACACUCAAUGUGGAUCAUGGAGGAGAAUCCAGGAUUACAGCAGGACUAAAGAAAUGUAUGUCUACACACACACACACACACG